rnacentral:rRNA from 1 species
AGCGAACGCUGGCGGCGUGCUUAACACAUGCAAGUCGAGCGGGAAAGCAUCCUUCGGGGUGUGAGUAUAGCGGCGGACGGGUGAGUAACGCGUAGGGACCUACCCUAUGGACUGGGAUAACCUCUCGAAAGGGGGGCUAAUACUGGAUAAGCGCACAUUGAGUGUGAAAAGGGAUAUACUCAGGUAUAUCUGCCAUAGGAUGGACCUGCGUCCCAUUAGUUAGUUGGUAGGGUAAGGGCCUACCAAGGCGAUGAUGGGUAGCUGGUCUGAGAGGAUGGCCAGCCGCACUGGCACUGAGACACGGGCCAGACUCCUACGGGAGGCAGCAGUGGGGAAUAUUGGGCAAUGGGGGAAACCCUGACCCAGCGACGCCGCGUGAGGGAAGAAGGCCUUCGGGUUGUAAACCUCUGUCAAUGGGGAAGAAGGGUGAGUUAUCACCUGACGGUACCCAAAGAGGAAGCUCCGGCUAACUCCGUGCCAGCAGCCGCGGUAAGACGGGGGGAGCGAGCGUUGCUCGGAAUUACUGGGCGUAAAGGGUGUGUAGGUGUCCAGGUAAGUCAGGUGUAAAAAUGCGGGGCUCAACCUCGUAAUAGCACUUGAAACUGCCUGGAUAGAGUGCGAGAGAGGGGAGCGGAAUUCCCGGUGUAGGGGUGAAAUCCAUAGAUAUCGGGAGGAACACCGGUGGCGAAGGCGGCUCUCUGGCUCGCAACUGACGCUGAGACACGAAAGCGUGGGGAGCAAACAGGAUUAGAUACCCUGGUAGUCCACGCUGUAAACGAUGGGCGCUAGGUGUUGGUGAGGUUAAACUCAUCAGUGCCGAAGCUAACGCGUUAAGCGCCCCGCCUGGGGAGUACGGCCGCAAGGCUAAAACUCAAAGGAAUUGACGG